rnacentral:rRNA from 1 species
UGAGAGUGGGUAGUCCGCACGAGCGCACCUCAUUUUUAGUUGCCAUCAGGUUAUGCUGGGCACUCUAAAAAAACUGCCGGUGAUAAGCUGGAGGAAGGCGGGGAUGACGUCAAGUCCUCAUGGCCCUUAUGGUCUGGGCUACACACGUGCUACAAUGGUGGUGACAGUGGGCAGCGAUAUCGCAAGAUACAGCUAAUCCCAAAAAACCAUCUCAGUUCGGAUUGGACUCUGCAACUCGAGUCCAUGAAGUUGGAAUCGCUAGUAAUCGUAGAUCAGCGUGCUACGGUGAAUACGUUCUCGGGCCUUGUACACACCGCCCGUCACGCCAUGGAAGUUGGUUUUACCUUAAGCCGGUGCGCUAACCGCAAGGAAGCAGCCGUCCACGGUAGGGUCAGUAACUGGGGCGAAGUCGUAACAAGGUAACCGUAGGGGAACCUGCGGUUGGAUCACCUCCUUUCU